GCAAAAUCUUCGCGCCUCCAACGGCUGCGUCGGAAGCUCGCACUUCACACCCGGAAGCAAAUGUCGAACUCCUUCGCCGCGGUGCUGCGAGGACGGAAGGCGCCGGGGAUCGGUUCGCGUCUCGCAGGCGUGAGAGCUGAGGAGAGCGCGCCAGCUGGCCCAACGGCUCCUGCCUCAGUAGACCCCGCAGCCUAGGGACUAGAGUUGUCACUUAAGUGGACAUGAAGAAGGCGCAAAUAAGUACGGGGGCAGCCACGAGCUUUCCAAAGUGAUCUUUACAAAUAAAAGUACUACAGCUAUUUUUGCAAGCAUGCAGAGGAGUACACAUGUGCAUUUCCUAUGAACCACAUCAGCAGGGGGAGAGCUCUCCUUGUGGAAUCUCAUCAUGCCUGAUACUGUACAGCAUCUCAAUUUCAUCAGACCUGGCAGUGCGGGUGGUGACCUGUCAUUGACAUCUUGACCAUGUUUCCUUGAUGUCUAAUUCAUGUUUAUUAUCUACUUUGAUUUCUUUGUGAGGGAUUCUUCUACUGAAUUGUCUUUUCCUUACAGAUUUCUGUGUUCUUAACACUUGAGGUAGUAACUCCUGCUACUUAAGCUGCACAUAUAACUUCCCACAUCUCAUUUGGAAAUAUUUGAUACUGACUUUUGUAGAUGGAAAUCUUCCAUUGGGGGGAGUUCAACUUAUCAAUUUUUUUUUUGGUAAGUGCAUGCUAUAUUUUAGUUGAGAAUGAUUUUGCUUUGAAAUCAUAUUGGUACUCUUUGUGAGUAUCUUCUAAAGGCUUCAUAGACCUUUCUUAGACAGCCAGGCAUUCAUUUUGCCUGUAAUGUAAUAAUGGUGUCUUGGCAUCUAGUUGAACAAUUCCUGUUACCUCUUCCUCUCUUCCAAGAUCUCUUUGCCCUUUGUAUAUUCAGGGGCCAAAUGUCAAGUUCUAUACACUUGGAGUUUUAACUGAAAUAACAUUGCAUUUGCAAAUUUAAAAUGUGGUGUUUAUAAUGAUUCAGUCUUUAGAUUUAGGCACGAAGUAUAUCUUCACAUUUCUUUAGAUCAUCUUUGUUUUCUAGAGUAUGUCAGUAUACUGCUUCUCUGUGUAUAUUCAUAUUACUGCUUCAGAAAUCUCAUAAGCUCUUGCUGGCUUUAGGUGUCAUUAAUAUCUAAUGUUAUUGUCAAUGAUAUCAUUCUUAAAUUUGGAUCAUUUGUAACUGGUAUAUGUAAAUAUAGUUGAUUUUUGCAUAUAUCUAUUUGAAAUUUAGAGAACUUGUCAAAUUCUUCUGUUAAUUCAAGUGGUUUACUCUGAAUAUUUUUACACACAUACCAUCUGCCAAUAAUGAUAAUGUGUUUCUUCUUUUACAGUCUCUUUCCAUUCUGCCUUCUCUUUUCCCUUGCCUUGUGUUGGUUAGAACUUCCAGGACAAUGUUGAAUAAAGAUUCUGAUCCCA